rnacentral:rRNA from 1 species
UACAGAGGGUGCGAGCGUUAAUCGGAAUUACUGGGCGUAAAGCGUGCGUAGACGGUUAUUUAAGUCGGGUGUGAAAGCCCCGAGCUCAACCUGGGAAUUGCAUUCGAGACUGAAUAGCUAGGGUACGGUAGAGGGAAGUGGAAUUUCCGGUGUAGCGGCGAAAUGCGUAGAUAUCGGAAGGAACAUCAGUGGCGAAAGCGACUUCCUGGACCAGUACCGACGUUCAGGCACGAAAGCGUGGGGAGCAAACAGG